UACGUAGGGGGCAAGCGUUGUCCGGAUUUACUGGGCGUAAAGAGCGUGUAGGCGGCCAGGUAGGUCCGUUGUGAAAACUCGAGGCUCAACCUCGAGACGCCGAUGGAAACCAUCUGGCUAGAGUCCGGAAGAGGAGAGUGGAAUUCCCGGUGUAGCGGUGAAAUGCGCAGAUAUCGGGAAGAACACCCGUGGCUAAGGCGGCUCUCUAGUACGGUACUGACGCUGAGACGCGAAAGCGUGGGGAGCGAACAGG
rnacentral:rRNA from 1 species